rnacentral:misc_RNA from 1 species
AACGCACAUUGCGCCCGCUAGUAUUCUGGCGGGCAUGCCUGUUCGAGCGUCAUUUCAACCAUCAAGCCCCAGGCUUGUGUUGGAGCCCUGCGGCUGCUGCAGGCUCCUAAAUACAGUGGCGGGCUCGUCGUCGUACCGAGUGCAGUAAACAUCCUCGCUCAGGGAACGCGUCGGGUUCUUGCCGUGAACCCCCCCCUAUAUCAAGGUUGACCUCGGAUCAGGUAGGAAUACCCGCUGAACUUAA